rfam:Stegodyphus mimosarum contig66648, whole genome shotgun sequence.
GCCUUUGUGGUGUAGUGGUUAGCACGCUCGGCGCGUAUUCGAGAGGUCCGUGGUUCGAGUCCCGACGAGGUCA